AGCAGCCGCGGUAAUUCCAGCUCCAAUAGCGUAUAUUAAAGUUGUUGCAGUUAAAAAGCUCGUAGUUGAAUUUCGGGGUUAGUAGGCUGGUCAUGCCUCUGGUAUGUACUGGUCUUACUGACUUCUCCUUUCUGAAGAACUGUAAUGCCAUUAAUUUGGUGUUGCAGGGAAUCAGGACUGUUACUUUGAAAAAAUUAGAGUGUUUAAAGCAGGCUAACGCUUGAAUACAUUAGCAUGGAAUAAUGAAAUAGGACGUUCGAUCCUAUUUUGUUGGUUUCUAGGAUUGACGUAAUGAUUAAUAGGGAUAGUUGGGGGCAUUAGUAUUCAAUUGUCAGAGGUGAAAUUCUUGGAUUUAUUGAAGACUAACUACUGCGAAAGCAUUUGCCAAGGAUGUUUUCAUUAAUCAAGAACGAAAGUUAGGGAUCGAAGACGAUCAGAUACCGUCGUAGUCUUAACCAUAAACUAUGCCGACUAGGGAUCGGAUGAUGUUAAUUUUUUAUGUACUCAUUCGGCUACCG
rnacentral:rRNA from 1 species